UACAUAGGGUGCAAGCGUUGUCCGGAUUUAUUGGGCGUAAAGAGUUCGUAGGCGGUUUUUCGCGUCGGAUGUGAAAACUCAGGGCUCAACCCUGAGCCUGCAUUCGAUACGGGAAGACUCGAGGACGGCAGGGGAGACUGGAACUUCUGGUGUAGCGGUGGAAUGCGCAGAUAUCAGAAAGAACACCAAUGGCGAAGGCAGGUCUCUGGGCCGAUCCUGACGCUGAGGAACGAAAGCGUGGGGAGCAAACAGG
rnacentral:ncRNA from 2 species